GAGUCUUAAUAUUUGACUAACUAUUUACUAAUUUUCUUUUUUAUUUAUUAUAGAAAGUUGUUACUAAGGUGGUGCAUGACACAGUACCAUCGGGUCCUCAAACAGUAAUCAAUGGACCGCAGUUCAAUAACGAUCACAUUGGACAGCAAAGUAAUACUUAUAAUUAUAACAAACUCAGAGCGG